UAUGGGCAAGGAGAAGUCAAGGAUGAAUUUCCUACGGCCUUGUUGUGCAGCGCUUGCUUUGGAGAGGGCAGUGAAGGUGUUUCCAGCAGUGUCCAGCUUUCAGCCGUAUGCUGUCCCUCACCUUGCGAGAGGGAGUGUGUUUGAUGGACCCUGGGUGUGCAACUCAGUCACCAGGGAGGGCCUGAUCCUUUCCACAAGGUGGCACAGCAUGCCCUUGUUUUACUUGGGUUGGGCUUUGGGGGUUUAUCCCCAAAAGUGAUUAUAAAAGUAGGUUUACCUAGAAGAAGGGAUGUACUUCCCUCCCUACCCUAGUGAUGCAGCAUGGGCUCCCGUGGGCUGUUAGAGGGCAGGGGUGGCAAAAUCCCUCUUUUAUCCUCCCUUAUCAGCCAGAGGUCUGAGUUCAAGGUGUCCCUGGGCCCUGCUACGCGCUGUUCCCACCCCUACGAUGCUCAGGGCAAGACAGCCUCUGUGGUGCGGGGUGCCUGGUUGUCCUCUUCUCAGGCACCAUCACAGAGCUGCAGCCCCUGUGUCAUGCUCUGGGUGUUGUAGGUCCCCUGUAAGCACCUUCCAACAAAAAGGGGAUUAUCUAUAGCUUGUUAGAGUCCUUGCAGGGAGGGAGAAUAAAGCUCUUUGCUCUGAAACGUUCUCUUCCCUGGGAUUACAAGAUAAUGCAUAUGAAACGACAUUAGCUCAGCCAGGUUUAUGGAUUAUUUGAAAAUCAAAUUCUUUUAAUCUCAUCCGCCAUCUGGCACCAGCAUAACAGCCAGCAGCCAGCUGACUGCUGCUUCCACCCUGACUGUGUCGGAGCGACUGGAGUCCCAGAGACGGCGAAGGGACACCAGCAUCCUUGGCCACCACUGUGUGUCCUGGCACAGGCGCCUGGGCCAGCCUUGUCCUUAUUUCUUCCUAAAACAGCGUGGAGGUAACACGUCUCUGUGGAACUGACGUCUCUCCUUGGUGUGCGCUGGAAACGAACAGACAGGCUGGGAACAUCUCACUGCUUGCGCCUGUGUGACCAUGAGACUCAAAGUCAGCAGCCAGAGGGGUGCCCACGCCUCGGAGAAAGAAGCCGUAGCUGUUCUGCCUGUCAGCUUUGUCCCAGCGGCUCUUCGUGGCUGGAGUCACAAUUUGCAGUGCUGCCCGCUUUUGCUCGGCUCUCGGCACAGAGAGCGGCUCUUACAGGCAGCGAGAGGCCGGGGAGGGAGGUCUGCGGUUGCUUCUCGGUGGGGAUCGGGAUGCGAGAGGAGCGGACGUGGCACCUCUGCCCGCAGGAAAAUGUAAUAAUAAGAGCCCAUGUGUUUCUAACUAAAUGGCAGCCUGUGCUUAGUAAACAAUCCGGGGUCCAGUUUGGAUGGGAUCCCUGCGUUGAUGUUUCUGGAAAUAAAAUAAGAAUCGAGCUAAGGCAACUUGUUGCUGGAGCUGCCCGGAGCUGUUGCCGGAGCCGAAGGGAGUGAGAGCCCCUGGAGCAUCCAAGUCCGCAGGCAGCUCUGUGUGACUGCGAGAGGUCCCUCUGCUGCCCAGACCUGGCUCCUUUCCCUGCUCUCCGUCAGUCACCCGUCACUGAUGGGUCCCAGGAAUGACCCUACCCCUGGGCUCCCUUCGUGGGCUCCCCUUAGCACGGUUGCUUUCGCACCUCCUGCCUCUCCAUUCUCCUUUGGGGGUGAUUUUGGCAAGGAAAUUUGGCUUCUCCUGCCUCUGUGGUCUGCAAAGACUAGAUGCAUCCACGCAGCUGCGUCCCAUCUCCGCACCGGGACGGAGAGCAUCCCUCUAUGGCAGGCAGUGGGCAACCUUCUGUUGCCAGAAUGUGCCGGUCCCUUGGGCAGCCACUUCCAUUUUGCCUCGUCCUUCUUGCCACAGGUUCCCUCCCCAGUGCCCGUUCACUGAUCUCCUGCAACACCACUUGCAUUGCUGACACUGGGCACUUUGGACUUGAACUGGGACCAGUUACCCUGUCAGGGUCCCGCUGCUUUUAGUGCUUAGAUCACUUUUGAGUGUGAGAUUCCAAAGUCACUUGGAAUAUUUGAAAAACGGUGUCUAUUUUUUUUUCCUCUCCAUUGGAGUGUAUAUCUGUGGGGUUUUUUGUUAUUUCUUUCUUGUCCAUGUUUAAAAUUUCUUUUGGACAUAAUUUCUUUUUGUGAUGUAAGUGUUCUGACAAACUUGACCCUACGCUGCAAAGCAGUUCUGCACGAAUGAACCAGGCAGGUCAAGCAAUCUUCCUCUCUGGUUCCUUCCCCUGAAGUAAAAAGCGACCCUACAAUCACAAACCCGGUGCGUAGAACCCCGUGCAUUCAAGAGACCCUACAAUAACAAACCAGCGUGCACGCAGCCUGCUGCUGAUUAGCGUUGACAUGGUUUCAAAUGCUCCUGCUGAUGUGUCCUUUCUGAGGGCAUCAGCGUCAGCCGUCCUUUUAGCUGUGAAACGAGGAGGAUGACUCAUGAACCAUACCGACGCAAGUGGUGUCAGUACCUCGAUGGUCCAUCAGGUUUCUAACCUGCGUCAGCAAAAUCAGGGGUGAAGAAGGAAAUGAGAUUGACAACCCAACCUGAAUUUGAGGGGGAGACGGCAAGUGAUACGGAAAAUAAAACUCCGCCUGAGCCUGUGUCCCCACUCCUUACCAGACACAUGCUGCAGGGAGACCCAGCUCUGCAGACCUUCAGGCAUGGACUGUUCCCGUCACUUACGGAUAUUGGAAACAUUCAUUUUUGACAACGCUCUCCAACAGGCUCUAACUUCUUCCUCUGCUGACAGCCUGAGAGCAUCUUCCCCUCCUCUCUCUGCAGAGCCUUUUGAAGGACUGAUUAUUGUGGGCUGGUACCUCUGUCCUCCUGAAUUUGCCAUGAAUAUUAUGUCCGCUGGUGCGAGAAACCCUCCUUAGGUCACAAGCAGCCCAGAAGUGCUUAACAGUCCUGAAGCUGAGAAAGCAGAUGAGAAGGCUGAUAAAAGCAAACUUAAGACGCUGUGAACCCCAGUUAUGAUGAUUUAUGGCUCUCUUUAUCUCAAGAUGCUUAGAAACUGACGUUUUCUGAAGUAAUGAGA